ensembl:lncRNA
GUGAGGAUACCUUUCGGGAGAUCCCUGCCUGCCUGCGGUCUUCCAAAGGUGUGCUGUGCUGUGCAGUCUGCUGGAAGAAAUGUGAAUGAGGACCACGAGUGUAAUUCUACCUUUGGCAUGACUCGCUUAGUUAAUGCUUGAUACUACUGUACAGUGCAAAAUGUUUCAUGAGUGUUUGGAAGAAAAGAAAGAAAGAAACAGGAGAUGUUAGUCAGGUCAUGUCAGCAUUGAGACAUGAAAUUUCUGAGCGACAUGGACAAGACGUGCAGUCCCUCAGUUGAUGGCAUUCUCUGUGAACAAAAGAAUGGAAAAGCAGGCUUCUCUACAGCUCUUAACACGCUGCCUGCAUGAUGUCAGCCACUGCCUCUCCCAGCGUUUCCUCCUGAAACACACAGAAAGCAUGCUGUACGUGCUGCAGUACACCAAGGUCAGUAGUCAAAAAGCUCCACUUCUAGGAUUUUGAUGUGAUAUAACCAGACCGAUCACUAGUCUCCUGACAACCAGCCCUUGGCAGGGGGUUGGAGCUCACUAUUUUUAAGGUCCCUGACAACACAAGCCAUGCUAUGACUCUAGGGUCAGCUACUCCUGCCAGCACUCCUCAGGGCACAGCCUCUCCCUGGGUGCCCCACCCUGCAGCACUGCUUGUACAGAAGAUCAAAGGUCCUUCCACCCUACUGGAGUUUUCUCCUAGUAAGUGCCGACCAUACUGAUACCGUAAAUCGGUCAAUGAAGAAGCUCAGGCUCAAGUCGGAGUGUUAAGCUGCAGGCAUUCUUUAUUUUCAGCCCCAGAUGCACGAGGGGAUCCUUCCACCUCAUCAUGUGUACAAAAGAUCUUCAGCUUGUGUACACCACUUGUGUUACACACACAAAGACUUUCCCAGGCAGUACAUACAUAUUCAAUACUUUCCCUAAUACCAUUUACAUUGGCUUCCGCCUCCUUGCACACGCUCCAUCUCUUUGUGGCAGUGGUCCUGAGACCCUCUGGAUGAAGUCAGCUGUCUUCCUCACUGAGACCGCUGGUUGGACCCAGUCUCCACUCAUGCUCAGUCAGCUCUGUGCCUUGAUGGCACAGUACUUGCAUCCACAAAGCUGGCUGACUCAACCAAACCUCCUUAUCCACCUGGUAUCCAGGGGUCAGUACAUCAUCCAUUCACUAAAUCCAUAUACUGGUCCUUAAGCUUACAUAUUGAUCCCAAUUGGUAAUCCAGACCGUAUCACUAUGUGUCGCAGGACUCCUCCUGCUUUCUAAGCAGACUACAGGACUGCCCAUCCACGAGCAUUAGCAAGCUUAGCAGUAUCUCUACAUCUUGUAUCAGUGCCUAGAGGACGAGGGAUUCAGGCCUGGAAAGAUGUACUGAAAAACGUCAUUCCCCGGAUGUGGAUCCUGUAAGAGGUCGCUUUGUCAUAAAUAUCGCCAGCAGCGCUCACGCUGUAGCAAGCGUUUUUUCUACAGAGAAGCUCCGUCCGUCCGCGAUGCAAACACGCCGCCUCUACCCAGCAACAUUCCCACACCCAACAUGGCUCCUCAAUGGCUUCACCCGCUCUUCAGCGCCGCCCUCCAGCACGGCAGCGCACCUCCCCACCGGUUCGGAUCUGCUGUGCCCUUUCUCAAAAUGGCGGCCGCCAGCUUCACCCCGUGUCUGCCGGGCGAGGAGUGAGACGCCUUUCCCUAGAGUAAAAUGGCAGCGAGGAGGGCUCGCGCACCGCACCGCCCCGCCCGGGUGACAGCCAGGUCGUCCGGUCACGUGACAGGAUGUGAGGGGAUGGAGCGGUGCCGGGCUUUGUCCGCCGCUCGUGGCUAUGCUGUGUGCUCGGUUCCCGCUUGGUUCCGUGGCUCUUCGGGAUCAGUGGGGGACGAUGCCGGCCGCAUUUAGAUUCCUUGUGAGGUGCCCUGAGAUACCAUGUUGGAGAUGGCGGCUGUGCCCUGCUGCUCCGUUGUCUGCUUCCGUGCACAGCUUGUGACCAUCGUGUGCUGGGACACCUGUGCCAAAUUUUGUUGCCUCUUUACACAUCCUCCAAGUAGAGGUUGUAGGUGAUGGACAACCGACAGAUGGCACCAGGCCCUCCCAUACGCUCUAUGAAAAUGAUGAGAAUGACUUCCAAGGCUGUGAGUGGUGGCUGAUGAGAAGCUAAGAAGAGGAACCUCAAAGUUAAACUGAUUGGGUGGAGGAACAGACGACAACGCACCGAUUGGAGUGAUGGUGUCCUGCUCAGAAAUGGAUGUGCUGGAUGGCAGAAGAGGAUUCUUGGCCAAGUAUGGAAUCAUCUCUGUUCCUUCACGAAGAUUCCUCAUGCUGAAGAAGAGAGAGGUUUUCUGACAACAGAUUCUUGACGAAGAACGAGAAGAAGGUUUCUGACAUGAGAAGCCUCACGACCUGCCUCUCUCUCCUGGACUUUCUCUGCACUCUACGUGACUGCUGCCUAAGCCUGGUUCAAACGCAGUUCCUGACUUCUGCCAGCAGCACGCGCCGUUUAUCUUCCUCGCACUCAGAAACACACGACUUACAACAGAAAUCUCUCUGGAGUUGCAUUAGAGAUGGUGUGACAAACAGGAGGGACAGCACAAGGGCUGUAAAGGAGAAGCAUCCUGACCUUUGAUCCACCUCUGGUGUAUAAGAGCAAAACAUGAAGGGAAGGCAGGAGAUGUACAAUGUGUCCUUCUCCCAGCACAACCUCACCUGAUGCUUUAAAAUCAGAAAUGGAGAACUAGGAGUUUAUUUAUAUCUCUGAGGAUAUGGCAGUAGUCCUGAGAAGAAAGUCAACAAGUGGGUGAGCCUGAGCUACCCUCUGCAGCAAAUUUUUCCAGUCUCAGUGCAUCUCAGCUGGAUGCAAUGCUCUGUGUGCAAGAUCAUCGUUGGAGUGCUGACGUGCAUGUGUGAAUUUAAGUGCAAUUAUUUACUUGUGUUCACUUGUGGGAGUUGAUUGAAUGGCUUGAGGAAAGCAGAUGAAUAAUGUAAGGAAAUCUUUGCAGAAUCACGCAAAGUUCUAAAUGGUUUUCAGUGCAACAUGAAACAUCCCUUACUCUUCUCUUCUGAAUCCUCAGUUUCAUAUGCUUUCGUUGAAUUAUUUUUCUCCUUUCUCAUCAUCAAGUAAUCAACACUAAAUUGUUUAAAGGUGCUAUUACUGAACUUUCUGCUUUCUUACAUGAAUUAAGAUUUUAUUUUGUCAAGCGGUGCAAGAACUCAGAAAAUAAAAACUCAGAAAAUAAACAUUUCUUUCCACUUUCUUGUGUGAUAUUGCUUUCUGUCAUUUCCAGUGUCCCCACACGUGUCAUUUUCAUCAGGCUGAAAGCACAGUCUGUAACUGAAAAAUGGGCUUUGAAUUUGUGCAAUUGGCAAAAGCUGUGGCCUAAAAAGGCAUCGGAGCCCUUUCAAAAUGUUAUGAUAGAUUUUCCACAGAGAGGAUUUCUUUUUGCAUUGUACUGUAGAACAUAGAAUUAAUAUAAUGGAAAGAGAUGAUAGGCAUGCUCAGAAAGGCAGUUUUAUCUCUAAUAAUGGCUUCACAAAGUAUAGUUUGAAAGUGUAUUGUUUUCCCAUUGAAACUGGGAUAUAAAUGUGUAAUGUUACAUUACACAUUAAUAUAUUGUUUUCUAUGUAUUGUAAAGUAAAUUUUCUCUAUCAGAUGGUUACAAAUGAUGACUGGCAUCCUUUGGUAUCUAUGGAACCAAAGUAGCAUUAAUAAAAACAAUAAAGGCCAAACUGUCCUAGCGUUCCUGUGUGUGCUGUAGGUAAUAAGCUAAGUAUCAACACAACAGAAGGGCUUUAGUAAAUGGAAGUCAGAUGUUUCAUACACUGUGUGUGAGCUACUUUUGUGUCCGUGAUGUCAGCACAUCAGCCAAAAAUUGGAGCUCGCUGGUGAUUCUCGA